CCGUCGGCGGCGGCGCGGCGCGGCGUCGGCAAUUCGCGAGCAUGUGUCUGUGUGUGCUCUGUCACGAUCUGGCCACACACACUACCGUACGUGAAGGUCGAAUAUUUAUCCCGACUCGUCGGUCUAUUGGUUCACGAAUCGACACUGCGAUAAUGAAGGAGGUCCCACUCGCUCUGCGGCAAAAGUGUGUCCGGCGAAAGGGACGGGCGGCUAGCUGCGCGUGCGCCGCCGGAGCCUCCGCCGCUGCCGGCGCGGCCGCCCUCAUCAGUCUCCCCGCGACGGGGAAGCGGUUCGCGUGUGCAACUCCGUGUCGAGCUGCGGGCUCCGAGCCUUGCGACGCACACGAAUAUUUUUAGAUAACAGCACGAAUAAUUUAUUCGUAAGGUAGUGAUCGCGCGCACUUUUGCGGAUAUCGGUAUCGGCGCAUGCGGGUUCGCGUGCGCUGCAACGACCGUCAGGCGCAGGCCACCGUUGGCAAAGUCCCGAUAGGAGUGAUGGCGCAAACGCAGGGGUUUGUCUACGCUAUUUUAGUCCAACGGUUACCAGACUUAGUCUUCAAAAUGCAUAGAAACAGCCACUAAACUGAUGUCGAUGAUGGAGUGUACCAGCAGCACGGUUCCUGAGUCAGCAUGAUGUCAUGCACGCGGUAAUGGGAGCGUCCCGCCACUCGCGUCACGUCUCAUUCCCGCCGCAUACUUCACCCAAUCGAGCGAUGACAAAUCCAUUCAUAUUCUUCCAUUGUGCCUAACUGUUUAUGUUUGAAGCUAGAUUCUUGCCAUUCCAACGUAAUUAACGUUCAUAAUCGCGAGCCAUCUCUUUGUAACAGACUGGUUCUGCUCGUUUUAAUUGCAAAAAUGUAAUUUACGAAGGUGUUUGAAGAAAAUCAUCGAGAAAAUUGAAGAAAGAAGACAAAUUGCAAAGAAGAUAAAAGGAAUUACGAAACUGGUUUUCAUAAUGAUUUGACAGAUUGUUCCAUAUUCUGAGAUCAUUGUGAAAGCUGAUUUUGUUCCUAUGUCUACGGUCGGAGUCCACAAGAACAGUCAAUUUGAGAUACAAGAAGAUGAACAAGAAAGCUGUCAACAUAUCAUAAACCUUUUUAAUGUAUUUGUUUGUUUAUUGUAAGAAUAUUAUAUGUAUGGAUCAGGAAAUUA